rnacentral:rRNA from 1 species
UCAAAAACAUGUCUGUGUGUAUUGGUUACACAGUCUGGCCUGCCCACUGAGUUUUGAAGGGCUGCGGUAAUUUGACCGUGCAAAGGUAGCAUAAUCAAUAGUCUUUUAAUUGGGGGCUUGGAUGAAGGGUUUGACGGAAAGAAAGCUGUCUCUUUAGUUUUUGAUGAAUUUAACUUUUGUGUGAAAAGGCAUUAAUGGUUUAAUGGGACGAUAAGACCCUAUAAAACUUGACACUUGUUGUGUUGUUUUUUGGAGUUGGAUAUGAUUAAUUGGAGAAUGAUGCGGUGUGUUUUGCUGGGGCGGCAUGAAUAUAAUUUGUAACUGUUCGUUAGGUUGAAUAUGAAUUUAUAGAUUUUUGGUCCUUCAUUGAGGAGGUAAGAGUAAGUUACUUUAGGGAUAACAGCAUAAUUUUCCUUGAGAGUUCGUAUCGAAGGGAGUAGUUGUGACCUCGAUGUUGAAUUAAAUUUUUUNCUAGGUGCAGUAGUUUGGGAAGAGGGNCCUGNUCGGCCCAUAGAUAUUUACAUGAUUUGAGUUCAAACCGGUGUGAGCCAGGUG